AUUAAUAAUUAUUAUAUUUAAUAAAAAUAAUUUUAAUUUAAUAAAUAUUUUAAUGGGGGUUAAAGUAUUAUUUAAAGAAAAAAUUUUUAAAUUUAUAGUUAAUUAGUAUUGUGAAAGAAUUUUGAAAUAUUAUGAAAAUUAAAAUUUUAAUAAAGUAAUUUUUAUUUAUUGUAUCUUGUGUAUCAGAGUUUAUUAAAAAUUUUUAAUUUAUAAAUUAAUUUCUCGAAUUUAAAAGAGUUAAAUAAUUAUUAAAGUUAUUGUAGCAAAAUUAUUUUAAAUAAUUAUUUAGAAAUGAAAUGUUAAUCGUUUUUAAAUAUAUCUAGUUUUUAUAGAAAAAAAUUUAAUUUUAAAUUUUUAUAUUAUUUAAUUAAUUUAUUAAUUAAAUAAUUAUAAAAAUUUUAUAAUUUAAGGGAUAAGCUUUAAAUUAGAUUUUUAUAAUAUUAAAUUUUUAUUUUGAAAAUUUUAUAAUUUAUAUUGUUAAUAAAUUUUAUUUUAUUAUAAAUAAUUUCAUUUUUUUUAAAAUUUAAAUUUUAUUUAAUUUUUUAUAUAAAAUUUAUUUAUAAUUAUAUAAAUUUAAUUAUAAUGAUAAAAUUAGUAUAUUAUUUAAUAUAAAAUUAAAAUUAAUUUUUAAUUAAUAAUUAAAUUAAUUAAAAGGAAUUCGGCAAAUAUUUAUUUUCACUUGUUUAUCAAAAACAUGUCUUUUUGUUUUUAAUUUAAAGUCUAAUCUGCCCACUGAUUUAAAAAAAUUGAAGGGCUGCAGUAUAUUGACUGUACAAAGGUAGCAUAAUCAUUAGUCUCUUAAUUGGUGACUUGUAUGAAAGAUUGGAUGAAAAAUAUACUGUCUCUUAAUUAAUAUGUAGAAUUUAAUUUUUUAUUUAAAAAGUUAAAAUAAUUUAAAAAGACGAGAAGACCCUAUAGAGUUUAAUAAGUUUUUUUGUAAGAGUUUUAUUUAUAAUUAUUAAUAAUUUUAUAAAUUUUUUUAUUUUAUUGGGGUGAUAAAAAAAUAAAUUUAACUUUUUUAAAUAAUUUACAUAAAUAAAUGAUUAAU
rnacentral:rRNA from 1 species